CACGUAGGGCGCAAGCGUUGUCCGGAAUUAUUGGGCGUAAAGAGCUCGUAGGCGGUGUGUCGCGUCGGCCGUGAAAACCUGCAGCUUAACUGUGGGCGUGCGGUCGAUACGGGCAUCACUGGAGUUCGGCAGGGGAGACUGGAAUUCCUGGUGUAGCGGUGAAAUGCGCAGAUAUCAGGAGGAACACCGGUGGCGAAGGCGGGUCUCUGGGCCGAUACUGACGCUGAGGAGCGAAAGCUAGGGGAGCAAACAGG
rnacentral:rRNA from 1 species